rnacentral:tRNA from 1 species
UCCCUGGUGGCUCAGCGGUUAAAGCAUCUGCCUCCAAUGCGGGAGACCCGGGUUCGAUCCCUGGGUUGGGAA